rnacentral:rRNA from 1 species
GACGAACGCUGGCGGCGCGCCUAACACAUGCAAGUCGAGCGAUGAAAUUUUAACCGCUCUCUUCGGAGAGAAGAUAAAAUGGAUUAGCGGCGGACGGGUGAGUAACACGUGAGAAACCUGCCUUUCACAAGGGGAUAGCCUCGGGAAACCGGGAUUAAUACCCUAUGACACAUUUCCUUCGCAUGGAAGAAAUGUUAAAACUCCGGUGGUGAAAGAUGGUCUCGCGCCUGAUUAGCCAGUUGGUGGGGUAACGGCCCACCAAGGCCAUGAUCAGUAACCGGCCUGAGAGGGUGAACGGUCACAUUGGAACUGAGACACGGUCCAAACUCCUACGGGAGGCAGCAGUGGGGAAUAUUGCACAAUGGAGGAAACUCUGAUGCAGCGACGCCGCGUGAGCGAUGAAGGCUUUCGAGUCGUAAAGCUCUGUCCUAUGGGAAGAUAAUGACGGUACCAUAGGAGGAAGCCCCGGCUAACUACGUG